GCACUGCUCUAUAUGAUACUGGGUGCCUAUGAUACUAACGUCUUACCGAAUCCCUGCUAUCGCGGGCCUCAAAUCCGUCAAUGGCGUCCACGCCCUCCCUCCUCACCCUCCUCCUCGCUCUUGUGCUGCCCCUCAUCCCUCUCGCCGUCGCAGCUCCGGAGAAGCACCUCGUGACCCACCUCCCGGGCUUCGACGGCGCCCUCCCGUCCAAACACUACGCCGGGUACAUAAGCGUGGAGGUGCUGUCGGAGCGGGCCCGGGCCGCCGACCCCGUCGUGCUCUGGCUCAACGGCGGCCCCGGCUGCUCCAGCUUCGACGGAUUCGUCUACGAGAACGGUCCCUUCAACUUUGAGCGCGGAAGCACUCCCGGAGGGCUGCCCAAGCUGCACCUCAAUCCCUAUAGUUGGUCAAAGGUUUCAAGCAUGAUGUACCUGGACUCCCCUGCCGGUGUUGGGAUGUCAUACUCAUUGAACAAAUCGGAUUACACAACAGGUGACCUGAAAACCGCAGCCGAUGGGCAUACCUUCCUUUUGAAGUGGUUCGAGUUAUACCCAGAGUUUCAGUCGAACCCAUUCUACAUUUCCGGAGAGUCAUAUGCAGGGAUAUACAUUCCUACACUAGCUGAUGAAGUUGUCAAAGGGGCACAGAAGGCUCUGAAGCCAAGAAUCAAUUUGAAGGGCUAUCUAAUUGGUAAUGGAGUAACCGACUUAGACUACGAUUUAAACUCUUUUGUGCCGUUUGCACAUGGGAUGGGUCUCAUAUCAACCGACCUGUUUGAGGAUGUCAGUGCUGCUUGCCAUGGCACAUUCUGGGGAAAAGUAAAUGAUGUGUGCCAAGAAAAGAUAGAUAGAGUCCGUUGGGAACUGAAAGAUCUGAAUAAGUACAACAUUCUUGCACCAUGCUACCACCACCCUGAAGUCCAAGAGACAGCGUUCGUGAACAGCAGCUUGCCAUCAAGCUUCAGAAAGCUAGGUGAAACAGAGAGGCCUUUCCCUGUGAGGAAGAGGAUGGCGGGGCUUUCAUGGCCUCUCGGUCUUCCCGUGAGCAGCGGACAUGUCACGUUGUGGCCAGAGCUUGGCGGUAGAUCUCUACCAUGCACGAGUGAUGAACUUGCUACUAUAUGGCUGGAUGAUGAAGAUGUAAGAGCUGCCAUUCACGCCAAACCGAAAAGCUUAAUUGGAUCAUGGGAGUUGAAUACUGCAAGAAUAGACUACACUCAUGAUACAGGCAGCAUGGUGGAGUAUCACAAAAAAUUCACAGCCAUGGGAUAUCGCGUACUUAUUUACAGUGGAGAUCAUGAUCUAUGUAUCCCUUUCACUGGAACGGAGGCAUGGGUCAGAUCAUUAGGCUACCGAGUUGUCGAUUCGUGUCAUGGAGAAGCAAGAAACAGACAGUUGUGUCUAGAUCAACAGCAGAAGCUGAGUACAGAGCAUUAUCUCAAGGGUUGUGUGAGAUGCAGCAUUAUCUCAAGGGUUGUGUGAGAUGCUCUGGGUGAAGUACCUACUGAGCGAGUUGAAACUUCUGAGGAAGGGCCCCUUGAAGGUGUGGUGUGACAAUCAGUCAGCUAUAGCCAUUGCUAAUAACCCAGUUCAACAUGAUAGGACAAAGCAUGUGGAAAUUGAUCGCUUCUUCAUUAAGGAGAAACUUGAUGCUGGGAUCAUCAGCCUUGGUCAUGUCAGUUCUGGGCAGCAGUUUGCAGAUUGCUUGACAAAGGGACUAGGAACAAAGGACUGUAACUUGGCAUGUGACAAGAUGGGAAUGAUAGAUAUCUACCACCCAUCUUGAGGGGGAGUGUUGAACCGGUAUGGGCCCAAGCCCAUCAUAUGUAUCACUUAGGGCCCAAGCCCAUGAGGAUAAGCUGACCUAGAAGGGGCAUCCAGUCCUCCCGUUCCAAAGAGUGAGCCGCCACACACACUCACACUCACGCUGCAGUGGAGAUCAUGAUCUAUGUAUCCCUUUCACUGGAACGGAGGCAUGGGUCAGAUCAUUAGGCUACCGAGUUGUCGAUUCAUGGCGACCAUGGCACUUUGGGGGGCAAGUUGCUGGGGGUCUGGCCACACUGUUCCUGAGUACAAGCCCAAAGAAUCGCUGGCAUUCUACACCCACUGGCUGCUUGGAGAAAAGAUCUAAAUUGAUCUAAAUGAAACAAUCAAAUUUUGUAGAUAUGUAUCUUAUUAUUUUUCCUAGCUGUUUUUAUUGUAGAUUUUGAUAAAGACUGUAACUGAACCUGUUUUCAGUGUGAAACCCAAUAAACAAUCCAAGGCUCUGAUAAAUUUCCGCCUA